AGGAAUCCCAUUGGCUAUUUAUCCAUUAUAUUUACAGAUUAACAUGUGUGCUUUCUCAGUGCGGUGCUUCAGUUCGUUUUGAGACUACUAAACCUUAGCUUUUAUUUACUUAUUUUUAACCGAAUAAAUAUAUGUAUUCUCUUUAAAUUCAGGUUGUUUGCGGAUUCUAUAUUUUUGUAUUUGAACUUAAUAGUGAAAUAAUUUUUUGGAGGACAAGGAAGGCGGAUUUUCAAAACAUUCGAUUCAUUUUAGUAGCACCAACAACAUGAUAAAGCAGCGGGUGGCAACGUUGACAGGUAGAACUAACAAGUCGUGUGUGUAACCAAUUUUUUAUUUUAAAAACCAACCUUUUAUUUUGAAAAACAGUUCAGGAAGUAGCCCUAGUUUUGUUUCCGGAAUUAAUUUCUGUGUUUGUAGUAUACCGUCAACAUUGUGAACUUUAAAUUCUCAAAACAUUGACUGAAUACUGCAAAUUACUAUAACAUCAUUAUUGAAUAUUUACAUAGUUCCAAAGACAUGUGCGAUAGCGUCGCCUUUCAUGCUCAGCUAGCUUCGAUAAUUGAGGUUUUGGCGAAUGCAGCGGUUGCCGAAAUCUGUAAACUUGUAGAUGAUGGCCAUGCUGCCUUACGUAUGGAAAUUUCCCAUAGCCAGAAAGAAAUUGAUAACCUGCGGAGGAAGCUGCUUUUGACAAAAUACCAGAGUUCUCAACGGGGCACAGAGAAAUUCGGAGCCCUGCGACGCACAGUUCACAGGCGCGACACCGAUCUUGUUGCCCGAGCAAGAGCGAGCUUUGUUGGAAAGUCAUCAGGCAGACAUGGAUAUUUGGAGAAUCGUUGUUCCAACAGUGAAGGGGACAACUUCACAAAGGAUGUCACGAACUGGAAUGACGCAAGACGCACAGCGACAGACCCGGAUGGGAGCAUGCAGAUGGCAGAUAUGCAAGAGUCACCUCUUAUCAAAAUGGAGAACCUUGGCUCAAGCAGAACAGAAGAGAUUGUCCAACCAGUCAGUGAGAGCAGUGAGAAGAUCAUUGUGGCAGAACCAGGUUCUUCAUCAUCUACUGAACCCACAGACCUGGACCAGCAGGGCAACAGACACAGAGCUCCAGACACCUCACUCAAUAUAGAACCUGAAAACCAGACGUUCCAGCAUCCAGCAUCACAAUACAGCAGAACAAGACAGGACCAUCAGGUUGCUGAGGGUGUGACCUGGGAAACUGACCAUCAACCCAUAGAAUACAGCCUGUCCCAUUGGACAGAGAACCAAGAGACUGACAACCCAACUGUGAAAGCUCCUCAGAAUUCCGGGCAAGACUCCAAGAGGCUGUCUGAACAUCCAGGGAGGAGAGGGGCGCCUGGUAACUCUGGGGUCUGCAUGUCUGCUUCAGGCUCUCUGGACUGGCUGCCUGAUGUGGUGAUGGUGGACUCAGUUCCCAUUAAAGUGGAGGCAGAUAUGAGUUCAGAAUGGAGCAUAACUGGCCAAGAGUUGACAUCUGGAGAGGUCUGUUCAGACAGCAGGCAGCUUGUGGACAACAGAGGAAGAGGGGGAAUGGAGUCUGGACAGACAUGUCCCCCUGACACUCAACAUGCAGAACAAGGGACAAAUGUAGGACCAAGGUCCAAGUUGCCAGAUUUCAACGGACUGUCCACCCAAAACAGCUUUUCAUCUCCAAGUGUUACUCUCCUCCAGGUUCCCCAAAGAGGGAAGCCAGCCCCCUUCCUGAAUUUCAACAGAGGCUACAAUUUUUCAUCGAAAGGCAAAGAAAAGCAGGGGCAACAGCUAACAUCUCACUCGCCCAAGAGGCAACUCCGGUGCAGCCUCUGUGGAAAGCCUUUCCCUCAGCCGGCGCAACUGCGGAGUCAUAUGCGGGUCCAUACGGGGGAGAAACCGUACGGCUGCAGCCACUGCACAAAGCGCUUCUCCCACAGGCACCAGUUGAAGAUGCAUGAGAGAGUCCACACCGGAGAGAAACCAUUUCACUGUGUCUACUGCGGGAAGUGCUUCACCCAGUCUAGUCACAUGAAGAGGCACCUCCUCGUCCACACUGGUGGCAGGCCACAGGACACUGUGCUGCCCUGAGUGUUCCAGGGUGAAAUUUUCCCUUGGUACAGAUCUAGGAUCAGCUUCCUCUUCUCCAAUCCUAACCUUAACCAUUAGUAGGAAAACAUCUAAAACUGACCCAAGAUCAGUGUGUAGGGGCAACUUCACACUACUCCGCCUGGUGUAAUUAUAGGCAAGGCCAGGAGUUUUUCCUCACCACGUGACCAGACCAGGGAAAAACUCCUGGCCCUAGUUGUAAGGGGAAUAGCUCAACACUACUGUGUUUUAAUAUGCAUACUGGGUCUUUGUUUUUAACAGUUUGGAUAUUUACCACAUUGAACACUACCAUCGGUGUGUAGUGGUAGUGUUUUCAGGUCAGCUGUCUUGAUGCUUGGUCCGGAGUGGAUUGAUAAUGUAUAAGUUAUUACAGGUGAAGAUUUUAAACAUCCUUAUGAAUUUGUAUUGGUGCAGUGGUAAACCAAAGAACAGCAAUUAACAAAGAAGCUCUGGACAGGUGUCUGGGUGAGCUAGGCCUGUUGGUGGUCGAGAACGCAUUGCUCGGCUCAUCUCGUACCUGGACAUAGGGAGGAGGAGGGUGCAGGGAAGAGUGUGACGAUGACUGUCACUUUCUGGACAUCGACAUGGCAGAAGAGAAGAGCCACAGGUUCCCUGGGUGCCAGCACACUCCUGGCCCUUGAAACAGAUCUGGCGACCCAGCACGUGCAAGGCGAGAGUGCUGACCUGGAAUGAAUCCCCAGAGGUACCAUGGUCUGGGGAAACUUCAUCUCCUGGAGCUUCCUCUGGAGUCGCUGGUGUGGAUCUUCUGGGAUAUGCUGCGUGUGGAUGGGAAGAGAGGCUGCUGGAACCUGUCUCUGGUAGCGGAACCUUCCGUACCAUCCUGAGAAAGCUGUCAUCAAGGCAAAGAGUGGCUGCUUUGAAGAAUAUAAAGGAUAUUUUAUAUGAACUCUUUUUUAAAUUACUACAUGAUUCCAUAUGUUAAUUCAUAGUUUUGAUGUCUUCACUAUUAUUCUAUAAUGUAAAAAAUAGUAAAAAAUAAAGAAACCCUUGAAUGAG